rnacentral:lncRNA from 1 species
GAUACGGAAUAUCGUCUGCUAGAUAAGAGUGCUGUCCACGACUUUGUUCGAAAAACACCUCGAAAUCUAAAGUCGCCGAGUUUUCCCCUAACUCGCCGACUUAUUUCUUUGUUUUUUGAACAAGCUCGGUCAAGUCAUCCUUUGCUCUGGAACUUGCGUUUUCGCAUAGGUUCGAUUUUUCCCAAGCAAAAAUCGCCUAUCUUGGGCAAACUCG